AGUCCUGUAGCUCAGUGGUUAGAGCACUCGCUUUACAAGCGAGACCUGGGUUUGAUUCCCAGUAGGGUGA